AGCAGCUGCCCCUGCAAAUGUCAGCGCCAGCCCAGUCAAAAGAGCUUGAAACCUACCAAGCCGGAGGACUGUGCUGUGCCUCUCUCGCCCACAUUUUCCCCAAGCACUCUCAGGAACCUGGCAACAGUGUCCCCUUGUGGCCAAGCCUGGAACAUCACAUCUGUACGUUGCAAUCUGUGGAUCAGCUACGAGACUGAGAGAAAGGAAUGAAAGGAUGGAAGAAUUACAAGAUCAGGCACUGCUGUCUGUCUGUUCCACGGAUGUAACCACAGCACACGCGUGGCUCACGGUACUAGUGUGAUAAAUGCUUGUUACAUGAAGGCGUGAACAGGGAUGAGAAGAGACUUCCUGGAGAAACAAAAGGACUAACAAUCAGGAAGGGGAGGUGAUCGGGGCAGGAGUAAAGUGGACACCUCAGCAAAGCCAUUCGCUGUGAUCUCUGAUUGUGCAGUGUCAUGUCCUGUCACCAGAGCCCCCUCGUGUUUGAUGUUGGCCAAUGCCGCCAGCAUGAUCUAGCAGGCCAAAUCCUAAUCUACCAUUCUCUGACACCAGCUGGUCCCCUGGGUCGUCCACCCGAUGUCCCCCAUUCUCCCCACUUGGCCUCCCCCACAGGCUCUCGGCAAAGGACCGUGGGAGGCACCUGUGACACUGCCCUUUUCCUGUGCAGCUGUUUUUCUUCUUCAUUCUUUUCACUCCUCGUUACUCUUUUUUUUUUCACUCUCAGCCCACACAAAACUAGGAACUUUGUUAUUCUACUUAUUUUUCUGUACUCUGUCUGUUUGCACACAGAUGGAUAUCUGAGAGCCAGCGAACUUUCUUUACCUCCUAGUAUCAUUUCAUGAAAAUUAGUAGCACCUGCACAAUGGGGCCUUGGAGACAGGAAUAAAAGGAAAAAUCUGGAAUGGAAUCACAUGACGCAACAGGCUAUGAAGACUCCCUGCCCGGCUGCUAUAUGUCUGGUAAACAGAAUAAAUAGUACUUGAGCAUCCCUGACUCUGAGACUGUGGGGUAGCUGGUUGUUUUAAGAUGGGACCAGGGUAUUGUGCACUUAUUGCCAAUUCUUGCUUCAGUAAGUGGGGUGGCUGUGCAGAGUGAGUGGCCUGUGUAUGAACCAGGGUCCGUCCCAUCUAAUGAGAGUCCGGUCAGGCUGAGUCCUCACCAAGACUUCAGCGUGGAUUCAUCAGUAACCUUGGUUCACUGGCAGGCUUGCUGGACUUUGGAGAAAAGGCUGACCCUCCCCCAAAGCAGCCCAUUGCUGCCACUGCCCUAGGAACAGAGGGCCUGGAGCCAGGGCUUGACCUGGUACAGGAGCUUUUGCACAAGGCCGGCUCAAACCUCCAAACCUGGGGAAACAGGAUGCAUGGUGAAGUGAAGAAGAAAGAAAAUGCAUCCACCGUUCCUUCCUGUUGGUGUCAGCACGAUGAGGAAUAAUUACCUGGAUCUGGAAAGCAGGCGUGUGGGAGGCUGCAGGCCCCCCUGAUCUGUGUAGUUAGGCACUUAAUUUUUCAUCCUCCUCCUUCUCUCUGCCCUCCCGAAACCGCCGUUUUCAAAGGAAAAACAGAAAAACGUAUCUGGGUAACCCGUGUAAUACUGUUUACAUCAGCCCACUUGGCCCAGAAAGGAUACCAGCUCCUUACUGAUGCUCAGAUAACAGGGUUAGUGCUUAAAAAAAUUAUGCCUUGGGCCGGGUGCGGUGGCUCACGCCUAUAAUCCCAGCACUUUGGGAGGCUGAGGUGGGUGGAUCACAAGGUCAAGAGAUCAAGACCAUCCUGGCCAACCAACAUAGUGAACCUGUCUCUACUAAAAAUACAAAAAGUAGCUGGGCGUAGUGGCGCAUGCCUGUAGUCCCAGCUGCUCGGGAGGCUGAGGCAGGAGAGUCGUUUAGGCCUGGCAGGCGGAGGUUGCAGUGAGCUGAGAUUGCGCCACACUGCACUCCAGCCCAGGCGGUGGAGUGAGUCUCCAUCUC
rnacentral:lncRNA from 10 species